UACGUAGGGGGCGAGCGUUGUCCGGAUUUAUUGGGCGUAAAGAGCUCGUAGGCGGCUCAGUAAGUCGGGUGUGAAACCUCCAGGCUCAACCUGGAGACGCCACCCGAUACUGCUGUGGCUAGAGUCCAGUAGGGGAGUGUGGAAUUCCCGGUGUAGCGGUGAAAUGCGCAGAUAUCGGGAGGAACACCAGCGGCGAAGGCGGCACUCUGGGCUGGUACUGACGCUGAGGGGCGAAAGCGUGGGUAGCAAACAGG
rnacentral:rRNA from 1 species